GAGAGAAGAUGAUGAAGGAGUUUAUUACUGUGGAGUGUGGACUGAAACUGUUGAAGUCAGUUAUCUUCCCCUCUACACAGAGAUUCAUCUGCAGGUUUCUGCAAAAUCAGCAACACCUGUGCCAACAUCUAAACCACCAGCACCAACAACUACCCCACCAGUACCAACAGCUGCCCCACCAUCACCAACAACUACCCCACCAUUUCCAACAGCUACCCCACCAGCACCAAUAGCCACCCCAGCACCAACAGAGCCAACUACACCAACAGUGUCCGCUUCUGCUCCAGGUUCCUCAAUCAUCACCACCACCAUCAUUAUCAUCAUUGUGAGCAUCUGUGUGGCUCUGCUGCUUAUUGGAGGACUAACACUGAUAUGUUUUGUGGUGAUCCUCAA